GACGAACGCUGGCGGCGUGCUUAACACAUGCAAGUCGAGCGGAAAGGCCACUUCGGUGGUACUCGAGCGGCGAACGGGUGAGUAACACGUGAGUAAUCUGCCCCUGGCUUUGGGAUAGCCACCGGAAACGGUGAUUAAUACCGGAUAUGACCACUUCUCGCAUGGGAUGGUGGUGGAAAGUUUUUCGGCCAGGGAUGUGCUCGCGGCCUAUCAGCUUGAUGGUGAGGUAAUGGCUCACCAUGGCUUCGACGGGUAGCCGGCCUGAGAGGGUGACCGGUCACACUGGGACUGAGACACGGCCCAGACUCCUACGGGAGGCAGCAGUGGGGAAUAUUGGACAAUGGGCGGAAGCCUGAUCCAGCAACGCCGCGUGAGGGAUGACGGCCUUCGGGUUGUAAACCUCUUUCAGUAUCGACGAAGCGCAGGUGACGGUAGGUACAGAAGAAGCACCGGCCAACUACGUGCCAGCCGCCGCAGUAACAC
rnacentral:rRNA from 1 species